UACGUAGGGGGCGAGCGUUGUCCGGAGUUACUGGGCGUAAAGCGCACGCAGGCGGUCUGCUAAGUUUGGAGUGACAGUUGGUGGCUUAACUGCCAAAGUGCUUCGAAAACUGACAGACUUGAGGGCUUCAGAGGGACACGGAAUUCCGGGUGUAGCGGUGGAAUGCGUAGAGAUCCGGAAGAACACCGGUGGCGAAGGCGGUCUGCUGGGCAGUAGCUGACACUGAGGCGCGGACAGCGUGGGGAGCAAACAGG
rnacentral:rRNA from 1 species